rnacentral:rRNA from 1 species
GAUGAACGCUGGCGGCGUGCCUAACACAUGCAAGUCGAGCGUGAUUGUUAUGAGUAGAGACUUCGGUCAAAGCGAGUAACAUGAAAGCGGCGGACGGGUGAGUAACGCGUGGGCAACCUGCCCCAUACACGAGGAUAGCCACUGGAAACGGUGAUUAAUACCUUAUAAGACCACGAAGUCGCAUGACUACGGGGUCAAAGAUUUAUCGGUAUGGGAUGAGCUCGCGUCUGAUUAGCUAGUUGGUGAGGUAAUGGCUCACCAAGGCGACGAUCAGUAGCCGACCUGAGAGGGUGAACGGCCACACUGGAACUGAGACACGGUCCAGACUCCUACGGGAGGCAG